GAUGAACGCUGGCGGCGUGCCUAAUACAUGCAAGUCGAGCGAACAGAUGAGGAGCUUGCUCCUCUGACGUUAGCGGCGGACGGGUGAGUAACACGUGGAUAACCUACCUAUAAGACUGGGAUAACUUCGGGAAACCGGAGCUAAUACCGGAUAAUAUAUUGAACCGCAUGGUUCAAUAGUGAAAGACGGUUUUGCUGUCACUUAUAGAUGGAUCCGCGCCGCAUUAGCUAGUUGGUAGGUAACGGCUUACCAAGGCGACGAUGCGUAGCCGACCUGAGAGGGUGAUCGGCCACACUGGAACUGAGACACGGUCCAGACUCCUACGGGAGGCAGCAGUAGGGAAUCUUCCGCAAUGGGCGAAAGCCUGACGGAGCAACGCCGCGUGAGUGAUGAAGGUCUUCGGAUCGUAAAACUCUGUUAUUAGGGAAGAACAAAUGUGUAAGUAACUAUGCACGUCUUGACGGUACCUAAUCAGAAAGCCACGGCUAACUACGUG
rnacentral:rRNA from 1 species